rnacentral:rRNA from 1 species
GGGGGUUUUGCUCCAGUGAAGCCGCCAGGCUUCCACCCCUGGUGGUGCCUCCCCCCGGCCAAUUCCUUUUAGUUUCAGCCUUGGCGGCCGUUACUCCCCAGGCGGCGGGCUUAACGGCUUCCCUGCGCCACUGGGCGGGCUCUAAGCCCGCCCAAACAGCUAGCCCGCAUCGUUUACAGCCGGGACUACCCGGGUAUCUAAUCCGGUUCGCUCCCCCGGCUUUCGCCCCUCACCGUCGGGCGCGUUCCAGCCGGCCGCCUUCGCCACUGGUGGUCCUCCCGGGAUUAACGGAUUUCGCCCCUACCCCGGGAGUACCGCCGGCCUCUCCCGCCCCCUAGCCCGGCAGUAUCCCCCCCGUCCUCGGGUUGGGCCCGAGGCUUUAAGGAGGGACUUGCCGGGCCGGCUACGGGCGCUUUAGGCCCAAUAACCGUCCCGACCACUCGCGGGGCUGGUAUUACCGCGGCGGCUGACACCAGACUUGCCCCCCGCUUAUUCCCCCGCCUUUUUACAGCGGGGAAAAGCCCCUCUUCGGGGCACUCGGGGUGACCCCGUCACGGUUUCCCGCAUUGCGGAGUUUUCGCGCCUGGUGCGCCCCGUAGGGCCUGGGCCCUUGUCUCAGGGCCCAUCUGGGGGCUCCCGCUCUCACGGCCCCUACCCGUUAUAGGCUUGGCGGGCCGUUACCCCGCCAACAACCUGAUGGGCCGUGGCCCCAUCCUCGGGCGGUUCCACGGACAUCCCCGUAGAACCCUUUUAAGGUGGGGGCCCCUUCCAGGAGUCCCCACCUAUCGGGGAUUAGCCCCAGUUUCCCGGGACUAUCCCCGUCCCGAGGGUAGGUUAGCCACGUGUUACUCAGCCGUCCGCCACGCCCCGGUAUCCGGGGCGUACGACUCCCAUGGGCUUAGCCUCACCCCGAUAGCGGGUCGAGUC